CCCUUCCAUAUACAGCCCCAAGACAUAGCGCACAUACGCAAACAAUAUCGCUUAAAAAUAACCACAGAGGAAUUCAUGUACCUAGGGGUCCGCCUAACGGCAUCCACAUCGUCUCUCUAUGCCCGUAAUUACAAACCACUGAUCCGGACCCUGAUUACGGAAAUGGAGCAGUGGACACAUAGGCCCAUAUCCUGGCUGGGACGCG